UACGGAGGAAGCUAGCGUUGUUCGGAUUUAUUGGGUUUAAAGGGUGCGUAGGUGGCUUUAUAAGUCAGUGGUGAAAUACGGUUGCUCAACAAUCGAGGUGCCAUUGAUACUGUAAAGCUUGAAAUAAUUGGAGGCUGCCGGAAUGGAUGGUGUAGCGGUGAAAUGCAUAGAUAUCAUCCAGAACACCGAUUGCGAAGGCAGGUGGCUACGAUUGGUUUGACACUGAGGCACGAAAGCAUGGGGAGCAAACAGG
rnacentral:rRNA from 1 species